UAAAAACUAAGGUUCUUGUGUCGGGCAUAUUGCAACGUUGCGAUUGUCUCUUGCUGGGAUGAAAUUUCACAAAAUGAAACCGAAGAUUUCUUUAAAAAAAACGCAAACCAUGAAACGUGUGCCAGUGCCACCACUGCAUGCAUCAGAAUGCGAAGACGCCACGUCGGAAGAGUGAGUGAGUGAUUGAGGUUCUUCUGGCGCAUGAGCGACUAGGGCUAUUAUGCGCCAACCGCGUCGGAACAGAACACACUCUCGCGAAAACAAAAGGUAGGACAGGAACUGAAAAAGAAGAAGGAGAAAUUGCACGCUGCCCAUGAUCUUGCCUACAAUACUAUUUUAGAGGAGCCCCUCAAAAGUGCAAGAGAGAAGAUUCAGCCCAGAGUCAAAUCUCCCCCGAAGGUAUGACAUGUGGUUCUAAAAUCCUAUUGCCUUUUUUGGUGUCACUCUCAAUCCAUGAAUGCACAGAUGAUGAUGAUGAUGAUGAUUCGGAGUUUAAUGGCGCAAGGGCAGCUUAGGCCAUAAUGCGCAGAUAUGCACAGAUAUGUGAUGUUAACAUGCAUGAAUAUGGUGCCCUGAAUGUGCUUACUUCAGCCACAGAAGAGGCGUGCAGUAAGCAUAUCUAGCACUGACUCUGAGAGUAAAAAUGACUUAACACUUGCGAAGGAGUCACAGCUGAGAGACGCUGUAAUGGAAGAAAACAAACGAGAGAGAGAGAGAAGACUCCAACAGAGUAUGGACACAAAGCUGUCUGAAAGUAAGUUUGGAUGAUGACCCAGCAGAGCUCAACCCGUUAUCUUUUGUUCACUGCUCACAUUGACAUUUGUUUCGCUUCCAGUACACGCCAUAGUGACACAAAUGUCACAGACCAGAGGCCAACCUGUGCACUGCACAUCAUGUUCUGCACCAGGUGGAGUGAUAGUAGCCUUUCUUAAUAAUUGUUGCAAUUUUUACCAUAUGUCGAGACAUGUAUGAUAUUGGUCUUGCGGACACUGAUCCCAGUCGAGCAGAGCAGCAGAGAGCACGUCAAGAUACUAGGUAACUCAAUUGGAUUUAUUCACUGACGUCACCUCGCCGUCAUACUGGUCCCUCGAAGUUAUGUUCCCACAUUCAUUUGCUGCCAUAUAUGUUUUUUGGAUGACUAUAAACGUCGAAAACAUGAAAAUUGCUUGGAUGUGCUACAAAUCACACAGCACAAUAACUUUGAAACACCAAAUAUACAGUGAGUGCGAUAUGGGUAACGGCUUGAACGGGACCUACAAUAUGGAGGCCGAUGGCAGCAUAUCUCCCUGCUAGCGACAGUGGCGGUCUCCUGCGGAUGCGAAUACCUUAAUUACAUUAAACUCACAUGCACGCUUAUUUUUAUGCCUUUCCUGAUUGAGUCUGGGUUGCAGAUGUUGCUGUAUCUUCGAAACGAAAAGCCGAUAUACAGGAUGAGGAAGAAGAAAUGCACUGAAACCUUUCUGCUGCCUCACCUGCAGACAGCUGUGAGGACUCUCCUGAUUGUGUGACAUCUGGAAGGGAUAUGGAAGCAUCAUGCAGCCGCCUUAUCGUAGGCCUCAUGUACAGAGAGAUGCCACAGAGCUGUCCUAACUUGCCCUGACAUGCCAUGAUGACGUCACAGCUGACGUCACAGGAUGUCCGGUACUGGCGGUCAUAGCUGCGAUGCUUUGCAACCUGCCUCUGUGCUCCGUCGCCCAGCGAUGGUCAGCGGCCCUUCCGGACCGCUUUUUUCAAGAUGGCGUCGUUGAUCUUCAACUAAACUCCUCCUCUCCACUCUAUCUCCAUUUUUUUUUUCUUUUUGAUGACCACGAUUAUCCGGAAACGCACAACUGGUCUGGACACGAGUUAGACGCUCCCCAAUUAGUGUGGUGACUCCCUGGAGGGUGCUGAUUACUCUGGGGGGUCCUAAUUAGCUCUAAUUGAUUAAUUAAUCGUGUUUAGACGAAGGUGUGAGUUUCCGGAUAAACGUGGUCAGUACUUACUACUAAUGUCAAGCACCUAAUGUCAUGACAUUUCAAAUGCCAAAACUGUGGACUACGUUCAAACUUACCGGCCUUUGUUGCGCGCGCGACCGAUUCUCGCAAUCCAUUCCUCUCUUGGGCGUUUCUCCUUCGGAAAGCUGUAGAAGCCCAACCCUUUGUUUUUCGCGCUGUUGUUAUAGCAGCCAGGGACGCAACAGGUAAAUCCCACCAUGUCAAAACAUGGGUCGUAACUCGUAGGCCACGAGACGAGAUAUUACAGCCUGCAAGUAACCUCAAAAGAACACCGCGAUCGCCUCGCUCACCGCUCCCAGGACUACGCACCCCAGAAUUCCUCGCGGCAGCGGCGGCGUUGCAAAACUCGACGUGACAUAGGUCUAUUGGCAAAUGUUCAUUGAACGAAACCUUUCUCGGGGACCAACUCCAGGAUUUUGUCAAUGAACAUUUACCGAACGGGGCUCCGGUGGCUAAAUAAGUAAUACUAUUAUAAUACAAACUACUGCAAUACAUGUCCAGCCCUGCAAUUCAGCGUGCCCCAAGAUAACUUAACCAGAGCGCUUCACAAAGAGUGCGAUAAACGGAAACUCCAGGCUGCCUCUGCGGUACUCGAGUUACAAGGAGUGUUACUUACGCGCUAUUUGUGAAGCGCUCUGGUGAACUUGUCUUGGGACACACUGCCUAAAAUUCUGCUUUCCAUUAUUUACCAUUGAUACAAGAUGACAUUGUUGGAAACCAAGCAGCUUAUCAGCAAGAAUGCAGUGUGAUUCAUGCUCGCGUUCGUGAGGGCGAGAGAGAAGGUGACGCAAGCGGGUCCUUGAACCACACGGGGUUGAAUGUUUCUCUUCCGCUGGCCAACCUUGGGGUCGAAAAGCAAGCGCGAGGGGGGAAUGGUCCCUCUUCCUACAGAGGAGGAGAAAAAACGUAGGUCGGGUAGAGGCUCCGUCACGGAAAUCAGGAAAAUCUUCUGAUUAGAAGAUUUCAGGAAUCUAAAGAUUCCUGAAAUCUUUAGAAUUCAGGAAAGGAUCUGAAAUAUUCUCCUUUCUCUACCUUUUUUCCUGUGUGCAUCUCCAGGCAUUGUCUUGGAUAUUAAAUAUGAAGAAAUGAGAAAAUGAAAAUGAAAAAUAAUAAGUUUUGUAGCUUCCUAAUUCGAGCUACAGCAUUUAUGUCUAUCAGAAUUUUUUUCAGCUGUGGUUGUUGUGUUUGUUGUUUGUUUCAGCUCAUGUUGUACAUGUUCUGUUUGAUGCACCCCUUCUCUUCAUGAUAGCCAACAUGCUCUACAUCUCCUAGUCCUCUUUUUUUCUCUUACUUGCAGGUCUUAACAAGACAUAUGGGUCGAGCAAGCAAGAUCCUCUCUAGAAUUUUCCCCCGACUAUCGA